CCUACGGGAGGCAGCAGUGAGGAAUAUUGGUCAAUGGACGAGAGUCUGAACCAGCCACGUAGCGUGAAGGAUGACUGCCCUAUGGGUUGUAAACUUCUUUUAUAUGGGACGAAAACAGGGUAUGCAUACCCUCUUGUAUGUACCUUAUUACUAAGGAUCGGCUAACUCCGUGCCAGCAGCCGCGGUAAUACGGAGGUACCGAGCGUUAGCCGGCUGUAUUGGGUUUAAAGGGAGCGUAGGUGGAUUGUUAAGUCAGUUGUGAAAGUUUGCGGCUCAACCGUAAAAUUGCAGUUGAAACUGGCAGUCUUGAGUACAGGAGAGGAGAGCGGAAGUCGUGGUGUAGCGGUGAAAUGCUUAGAUAUCACGAAGAACUCCGAUUGCGAAGGCAGCUCACUGGACUGCAACUGACACUGAUGCUCGAAAGUGUGGGUAUCAAACAGGAUUAGAUACCCCAGUAGUC
rnacentral:rRNA from 1 species